AGGUGUGAUGAAAGAGCACCUGGUUCCCUUAGAAUCACAGAAGUAAAGAAGUAGUUGGGAUUCAUCAGAGCAUGCUGUGCCAGCUUCUCAGAUGAGUGUAUCCUUGAAUACCCAGUAUCCAGAGCUUCUCUCUGCAUCCCUUUGACUUUUACCAGUAAGGCUCUUUUCCCUUUACUCAGAAUGAGCAUGCCAACCUUUUUCCAUUUUUUUUCCAAGUCUUGCUAGUAACCUUUUGUGGAACCCACCAGCUAACUCUUCUGAGAAGAGAGAAACUAGAGCUGUCUAUUGCAACUCUCUCAUCUUUCUACUCUGGUCUACAAAGGCUUCUGCAAUCCUACUCAACAUUUCUUUUCUCGGUACAUUUUCUCAGUGGAAAACAUUUCUGCCUUCAAUCCAAGACUAAAUUCUCUGCCUGUGUCCCUGGGCUUCUGUGAUGAGUAUUCUCUCUCCCUAGAACUCCCUUUUCUCACUGCCCUUGUAAUGGAACUCAGCUCCAGUCUUGCCUCCUCUAAGUAGGGUGUCUUCUCUUUUUCUGGGCACCAUUACACACUCAGGAACCUCAAAGGAAUGCAAACCCAUGGCAGCGAUUUCAUCUCCCCUAGCAUGUUAGGUUGGUGUCCUCAUUAGAACU
rnacentral:lncRNA from 1 species